rnacentral:rRNA from 1 species
GACGGAGGAUGCAAGCGUUAUCCGGAAUGAUUGGGCGUAAAGCGUCCGCAGGUGGCAGUUCAAGUCUGCUGUCAAAGACCGGGGCUUAACUUCGGAAAGGCAGUGGAAACUGAACAGCUAGAGUAUGGUAGGGGCAGAGGGAAUUCCCGGUGUAGCGGUGAAAUGCGUAGAUAUCAGGAGGAACACCGAUGGCGAAGGCAGCUCGCUGGGACGGUACUGACGCUGAGGCGCGAAAGCGUGGGGAGCAAACAGG